rnacentral:rRNA from 1 species
AUGAACUUCUGCCUCUGCUUCUCGUGGAUGCGCCGUCACUCGUCGUCCUUGUCCUUCACGGCAAGGUUGCCUGCGACCGCCUGCUGGAGUAUGAAGUCUUCGAGCUCCUCGUCGUGGCGUCGGCGCUCCGCCUCCUCGUGCAAGUUCCAUUCGGCAAUGGUGGACGCGACUGCGUCGACAUCGGCCACGAAAUCUUCGAGCCCGAUGACGCCUCGACGCUCGAUAUCCUCUGGCUUCUGCUUGACGGCGACGAGCUCGAGGUCCUCCAGCUCUUCCGACCACUCCCUCUUCAUGGGGAGAACUGCCGCGCCGGAAGGGCCCCUCGCGGAGGAGGACUAG